CAUGAAAAACAACUGAAAGCAUUGUAAUGAGGAUUUCUUAAGUCUGGAAUCUGGGUACUGGAAGUCUUAGGCCAAAGCCACGUUUUUUUUUUUGUUUUUUUUUUUAAACAGAGUCUUGCUCUGUCCCCAGGCUGGACUGCAGUGGCGAUCUCAGCUCACUGCAACCUCCGACUCCCGGUUUCAAGCCAUUCGCUUGCCUCAGCCUCCCGAGUAGCUGGGAUUACAGGCAUGCGCCACCACGCCCAGUUAAUUUUUGUAUUUUUAGUAAAGAUGGGGUUUCACCAUGUUGGCCAGGAGGCUGAGGCAGGACAAUGGCGUAAACCCGGGAG
rnacentral:lncRNA from 1 species